rnacentral:rRNA from 1 species
GAUGAACGCUGGCGGCGUGCCUAACACAUGCAAGUCGAACGGAAAGGCCCUGCUUUUGUGCGGUUCUCGAGUGCCGAACGCGUGAGUAACACGUGAGUAACCUGCCCUUGUCUUUCGGAUAACUUCAGGAAACUGGGGCUAAUACCGGAUAGGAGCUCCUGCUGCAGGGUGGGGGUUGGAAAGUUUCGGCUGUUGGGGAUGGACUGGCGGCUUAUCAGCUUGUUGGUGGGGUAGUGGCUUACCAAGGCUUUGACGGGUAGCCGGCCUGGGAGGGUGGACGGCGACAAUAGGACUGCGGUAGGCAGCAGUCUCGAACGUUAGGCAACGGUGGGAAGUAUGGCACAGUGGGCCGGAGCGUGUUGCGACAGCGCCGCGUGCGUGAAGACGGCUUUCUGGGUGAGAACCGCUGUCGCCUGAGACGAAGCGGUAGUGACGGUAAUGAGUAAAGAAGCACCGGCUAACUACGUG